rnacentral:rRNA from 1 species
UACGUAGGUCGCAAGCGUUGUCCGGAAUUACUGGGCGUAAAGGGUGCGCAGGCGGCGCGGUAAGUCGGGUGUGAAAUCUCGGAGCUUAACUCCGAAACUGCAUUCGAUACUGCCGUGCUUGAGGACUGGAGAGGAGACUGGAAUUUACGGUGUAGCGGUGAAAUGCGUAGAUAUCGUAAGGAAGACCAGUGGCGAAGGCGGGUCUCUGGACAGUUCCUGACGCUGAGGCACGAAGGUCAGGGGAGCAAACGGG